CCUACGGGGGGCUGCAGUGAGGAAUAUUGGUCAAUGGGCGCAAGCCUGAACCAGCCAUCCCGCGUGAAGGAAGAAGGCGCUAUGCGUUGUAAACUUCUUUUCCAGGGGAAGAAAACCAGAUACGAGUAUCGGCUUGCCGGUACCCUGGGAAUAAGCAUCGGCUAACUCCGUGCCAGCAGCCGCGGUAAUACGGAGGAUGCGAGCGUUAUCCGGAUUUAUUGGGUUUAAAGGGUGCGUAGGCGGACAAAUAAGUCAGUGGUGAAAACCUGCAGCUUAACUGUAGAAUUGCCAUUGAUACUGUUAGUCUUGAGUAUGGUCAAGGUAGGCGGAAUGUGUAAUGUAGCGGUGAAAUGCUUAGAUAUUACACAGAACACCGAUUGCGAAGGCAGCUUACUGGACCAUUACUGACGCUGAUGCACGAAAGCGUGGGGAUCGAACAGGCUUAGAUACCCCUGUAGUC
rnacentral:rRNA from 1 species